CAGCCCAGAAAUUCUGAGAACUAAUUUGCUAUUCUGUGACAUAAGACAAGGGGUCCGGGCUCUGUUCUGUAACUGUGUGAAGCACAUAAGCCUCUUUCUACACCCAGCACACAGGGGGACACACUGGACAGGGCACACCAAUAAAGACUCCUUCUAUACAAUAAAGCUCCAAAAGACAGAUUCCAUAGCUCAGGGUGAGGGGUGGCAUUCAGGUGGGUUAUUUUUUGUUUUGGAGGGGAUCCCACUACCUCCACAAGGCCCAUACACUCCACAGGACUGGGAGAUGAGCAGCUGGAUCCCUAUUGAGAGUCUGGAUGUGAGAUCUAUGCUGUAUCAUCCCGAUUCUGCACACUGAGAUGAUUUAUUUUUAUCCAAAGUUCUAAUUAUUUUGUUUUUGUCUUUAUUUUUUGUUCCUGUUCCCUGGGAGGGGGACACCCAGCAUUCAGUGAAAGCUGUCAGUGGAUUUGCUUGGCAUUCCUAUUUUCCCAUGGACUAAAUGUGGUAUGGUAUUUGCUGUAAUCAAUAACCAUAAAUCAAGGGUCUUAUCACUGUGAUAGAUCAGAUCAGAUCAGAGCUGAGCAUUUAUUUUCCUUAGCUCUGAACAUAGAUGCAUGUUUUGUCUUGAAAUGUUUUAAUGUCGGUAUGCUUUUGUAUUAUAGCUGUAUGUUAUGAAACUUGACUGUAUGUCUGUCUAUUUAUUCCAUUAAAUAUGUUACAUUACUGGGAGCACACUGCUUAAAAAGCCCAGAGAAUCAGUGCUGUAGGCGGGAGUUUUUUUGCCCUGGGAGGGAAAGUUUAUAGAAACUACUCUAUAAACCAGAAUAUAUGUCUUCAUUUGUCUGUUUGGGUGCAUGGGUGGGGCUUGACUGUCUACAGGAACUAGACAUAUACAAAUUUAUGUUCAAUGACAUUUACAGACAGCAGUGUUCCUGGCUGGGCAGCCCUUAACCUUUUCAUUACCACUCAGACCACUACAGCCGGAAGAGUUAAAUUUAUAGCACUGUACAGAUACACUGAGAGUGUGCUGAGGGAGUGUGUGAGGCUGAAAAAGGAGCAUAACUCUUACAUCAGUAGCCGGAAACAGGAUUACAGCCCAACUAAUCAGAUUGUCCAUGGUUUUACAUUGCAGUCUGUGCCUAUAAAUUGACAGCUUUAAAAUGUGACACACACAGCUUAACCCAUUCAGUGCCAGGAGGUUGCAGAUCAUUCUCGUGUUCCAAAUUAGUAUGACCUAACAGAUGUUGUGUGUCAUGGAUUUGAGGAUUGUACUCUAUACUGCUUUUCAGGCAGAGAUACAAAGUUUAGCUAUAGUUUACAUUAUCAUGAAAGUUGUAUCACCUUAAAACUUUGCAGUGAUAGUCUAGCUAAACUGAUAAGAAUGUUGGAAGAUGGACCUCUGACUUCAGCGAAGUUCAUUCUGCAGGCCUAUGUCACCAGCUGUUAAUUAACUCAAUAAAGUCUAUGUGAGGUCUUCUCAUUUAACCAGGAAAUUUGAAAAGAUCUGCAAAUUUUAGGCCAAAUUUGAAACUAAGCCAGUUUGGUUAUUUUAGUUUAAAAUCUGCAGCCCCUUGGUGAGUAAUCCAAAUUUCUGCUUUAGUGAAUACGGUCAUGUUCCACUAAAUGAAAAUUGUUGUUUGAUAAUGUCUGUACGUCAUCUUGUGUGUAUCAAAAUGUGGUUUUAAUUUACAGAAUAAAUCUGAACAGUCUUUUAUACUCUGUGCGUAGUGUUGAUUCGUCAUUCCUAUCCACUUGUUAUUUAUAACAUGGAUUAGCUGUUGAUAUGUUGUUAAGUUGACUAGGCUUCAGUUUAUUGACACACUAUUACACUGGGAUUUCUUAAUAUAGUAUUCUAAAAAUGGUUUGGCAUUACCCUUGUUUUUAAGGUGGCUAUAACUAAAUAAUGAACUGCAUAGAAUAUAGAUAGAAAUUGCAAAACGUAGGGCACAUAGCCAUGAUGGGUAGAAAAUUCUCAAACUCAACAAUUCUUCCAGUAUUUCACUUUGGCCUAUAUUCUGCACUUUACUUCCUACUGAACACAGUGGGAAACAACAAAAAAAACAUUAGAUUGGAUACUUCUGCUACUAUUUGUUAAUGUACAGAGUGUUUUAGGCCUCUUUCAUGUUUGGAUAUUUCUGUUUUGGUUUUUAUUUAUUUAUUGUUUUUUUUAUUUUUUUUAUUAUCACGUAGAACAAAAUAUUGCGUCAUUACUCUGCAGAGGGAACAAACUAUCACGCCAAAGCUGAACAUGGCAGAGAGAAUAUUUAACACUUUAUAGUGAUAUUGACUAUUUUCGGAAGUAUCAUUUUUAAGCAUAUCAUCACUACUAAAUGAAACUGUUUUUAUAUCACGUGCAAGGAUUCUGUCAGUCUGUACAUACCUGCGAUUUUAAUGUGAUUUUUUUUCCUACCCUUUCUUCAUGCAUAAUUAAAAAUAUAUGUUCUGGAAAAUCGGGUAGAGCUAUAAUUUUAGCCAAUGCAGAAGUCCUAUGCACAUCUGCCUGUUGCCAUAUAUCUCUAUAAAAACCUAUGAAGGUUACCAGCUUAAUGCCAUCUGAGUGUCUGCCUUUUUAAAUGCCCUUCGUGCACUUGAUCCUAUUGAAGUAGGAAUAAGCUGUUUCUGAUCCUUCUCACAAGCAGAAUAUAAUAGACAAGCACUGGUACUUUUCCAUUGAGAUCAAGUGUUGCUUGACUUUUUUGUACUAUACAUGUUAACCCACUAAAUCAGUGGUUCCCAACCCAGUCCUCAAGUAUCACCUAACAGUCCACGAUUUAGGGAUUACCCUGUUGUGUCUAAAGUGGGUUUUUUUGUUUUUGUUUUUUCAAAAACACCUUAGACACAAUAGGGUAAUCCCUAAAUUCUGGACUGUUAUGGUAUACUUAAGGACUGGGUUGGGAAACACUGCCCUGAAGGAUGCAUGACAAAAUAAUUCUGUCAUGGUUGUCCUACCCUUAAGGAUCCAGCAGGACUAUUUCCCUUCUUUUUACUGCAAAACCCCAGGAAUCACAGGUAACCCCAUAUCAGCAACGUUCAAAGUGAACACUACACACAGCCAUUUAAAUCAACGUGGCUGAUCUGCUGGAUUACAUCAACAGAGAGAGACAUACAAAUUCCUCUGCUACCUCGUCUCAUCUCCCCAUUUUAACCUUUAGAUUGUAAGCUCACGGGCAGGGCCCUCUACCUGUUGGAUCGGUCUGUUCUUAUUGUGUUGUCUUUUUCCCAGUUAUACAGCACUGUGGAAUAUGUUAGCAUUUUAUAAAUGCGAUUAAUAAUAAUAAUAAUAAUAUGUGGGAUCUGAAUAGACCACAAUGCGGUUCUCCCUUUAAGUCCCCUGAAGCACGAUCACUGCCUGAAGAGGGUAAUCAAUGUCCGGGCUGUGCAAGUUGCCUAGCAUAGAUCACUCUUUGUGAUUACAUUGAUAGAAGGGCUUUAAAUCACAUCAUGACAAUUUGUCACUAUAUGAUUUAACAGCAGAGAAGAAAGGUAUUUAAAUUAUUUCUCUCAUGCUGCUGUUGUCAGCAAGGAAAUCUCUUUACUGACAUGAUUAUAGGGAAUCCUUCUAACACUAUUGCUAAGGUUAGGGUUUAGGUUAGAGUUAGGGUUUAGAUUAGGGUUAGUUAGUGUUAGUAGGUGGGGUUAGUGUUAGUGAUUGGGGCUAGAUAGUGUUUAAGGCCUUGGUGUUAGUGUUUGGGGUUAGUUAGUGUCAGUAAUUAGGGUUAGUUAGUUAGUGGUUAGGCAUAGUGUUAGUAUGUAGGCUUAGUUAGUAUUCAUGUGUAGGGUUACAGUUAUGGUUAGCAUUUAGGGUAAGUGUUAGUGUUAUGGUAGCAUUAGGGGUGGCAGCAUAGACCGAUACCAACCACUCAUUUAAAAAAAAAAAAAAAAACCUGCAAUAUGAAGAAUUUGGCGCUGUAUCCUUGCAUAAUCUUUGCAAAGGUGUAUAUAGGGAGUAUUGUACUCGGGAGAUGUAGCUGAGAACAGUUUAGGGCUCUACUACAGAGGCACACAAAUGCGAUUUAAAAAAAAGCAUGCCAUGUAUGGUAUAUGUAAAAAAUAUGUAAAAUAAAAAGUACUGCAAAGUUUGAAAGAAAAUAGUGAAACAUGGCAGCUCAAUACAACUUAAUAAAUGAUGUUAGGUUCCAUGGUGUCCACGAUUGAAAAUGAUAUGUAUUUAUGAAGUAAUUUAAAUGCUUGGGCUGCUAAAGUGCCCCAAAGUGUACCAAGGACCGAUCUUCAAUUUUACCUUUUUGUAUUUUUUUUUUUAAACUGCACGGCGCGGGUUAUAAACUCAUCCCCCUAUUUUUACAAAAACUUGACAAAGGUGUGCAGAGGUGGUCAUUCUGUAUUCGGGAAAUAUAUAGGAGCACAAUUUAGUGAUUUUUUUUACAGCAGCACAAUUCAAGUUUACAAAUUAACCAGUAAUUUACAAUGUGCAUGUAAAAUAAAUUGAAAAUAAUAUGUUAUAUCACACUUUGAAAUAAAUUGGUGAAAGAUGGCUGUUAAAUAAGGCUGAAAAUAUACCACAUGGCAAUGGCAUAACCUGUUGGUAUCAACGUUUGCAAAUUAUAUGUAUAUAUCAGUAAUUUAAUCUGUCUCACAGAUAAAAAGCUCCAAAAUGAGGAAUAGGCCCAUCAAAUACACCUAUCAAAAUUCAAACUGUAAAAAUUGAAAUAGUCAGGUCUCUCACAUGGCAUUGUGACUUCACAAGAUUGUGGCAAAUAGGGGGUAAUUGUUUUACUCAGAACAGUUAGCUGAGCAUAAUUCGGAAUGUAUAAUAAUAGUGGUAUGUAUCAGAAUUACAAAAUCCCUAGCAAAUAUUGAAAAUGCAUGUAAAAAAAAAUAAAAAUACUACAAACGGACUUUAACUGAUGAACGCAUGGUGGCACAAUAAGGUACAAUAUAUUCCAUACGGGGUCCCGUGGAAUGCCUGCUUUCAUAAAUUGUAGGCCUUUGUGGGGUAAUUUGAACAGUCAAACUGCUGCCCCAAAAUGAUACAUAGGCCUGUCAAAACAUAUAUCAAAAUCUAACUGUAAAAACUGAAACAGUCAGGUCUCUUCUAUAGCACUGCAGUUUCACAGUAUCGUGAUAAAUGCAUACAUUUGGACUAUCAUUGUACUCAAAAGAUGUAGCUAAACAUAUUGUGGUGCUUUGUACAGGAGUAGCACACAUCCGGUUUACAAAAUACACAUAGAAAAAAAACUAUUUUAUGUUUGUAUGUAAAAAAAAACCACACAAACAACAAAAUUGUUGCAACUUUUUAAAGAGAUUGGCAGUUAAAAUGUCAAAAUAGCUUUAGGUAAAUACCCUGUGAUGUCUGCUUUAUAUAAAUAUAUAUACUUUUGUGCUGCUAUUUUGUUUUCUGUGAUAGCUAUUAAAGUUUGAAGACAAACUUAUCAAAUUCUAAAAUUACUCCACAUUGAAAUUGUAUUUUACGCCUUGUAUUUUGUGACCUUAUAUAACAAAAAUAAAACUAAAAAAUCCUAGACAUAUCUACAGGACCAAAAAAAUGAAUGUAUUUUGAAUUACUUCUCUUUAGCUGCACUAAAUAUACACAUUUUUAUUGAUAAAAAUGUGAACAAAAAUGUUGUUUUGCAUUUUUUUUAAAUUCUUUUCAUGAAUGAGAUUUUAUAUAUGUAUAUGUCACAUCAAAUUAAAUUCCUUUUUAUCCUUUAGAAAUUGGUAAAUAAUUGUAGUUGAACACACACAUAGCAAAAAUGACAAAUUUACUUGUGUCCUGUAGUACAAAAUAAGCAAAGUGUCCUUAAGGAUUAAAGGGCGUUUGCAUUACACUCCAACCAUUGGGAGCAUUCCACCUGAGUCGAAGGCAAUAACACAGUCUGUGCCCAGCAGUGUAAUGUGGGAUAUGUGUUUACAACAUUCUAUCCAUUUCAUUAACAAAUGUGAUACUGCAGCUAUGGGCCCUGGAUAAUCAAUAACAGCAACCUGUUAAACACAGGUCUUGUCAAUUUUUAACUCGGCAUACAAAGUGCAAAGUCUGAAUAUUGGGUUGGAUGAAAUUGCUUAACUAAAAUUAUAAAUGCAGACCUGCAAACCUUUGUAAAAAAAAUGCAAACAGCAAGAGGUUAUUCAAGAUUAAUUAAAUCAGAGGCAGACUCGUGUUCAUUUGUGACAAAUAAUUAAUUCCCUCAACUCUUUUUUUUUUUUAAAUACAGUUCAUAAACAAUAUAUAAGUGUGUGUGUGUGACAUAGAAGAUCCAGCGCACUCGCUUAUUUACUAAACUGCAAUUUCAAGUUUCACAGAAUGUAAUAGUUUUAUUUUUUAAAACCAUCUCACCAAGGCAAAAAAAUAAUGGGAGUUUAGUUACAGUAUAUCAUCAUACAUUGCAUUAACCUGCCACAACAUCAUAUGUGUGUGUGUGUAUAUAUAUAUAUUUAUUUAAAACAUGUUAUCCUGCACUGGAGGACUGUUCCAGCGAACCUCGAAAAAGAUAGCACUCCUAAAACUUCUUAAAAUAUUUUUUUGUACUUCGGAUAAUCCUAGGAGUGCUGUCCUUUUUUUGGUUUUCAUGGAUAGAUAGAUAUAUAUAUAUAAGCACUCACAAUCUAUCUGAUUAAUACCCAUUUUAUGUGCUUUUACAAGCAAUAACAUAACAUUGAAUUAUAGAAUUUAUGGAAUAUAUUAAUAUUAUUUUUCUAAAAACUGUGUGAUUGUUCCACACAUCUCAUGAUAGAUAGAUAGGCAGACAGACAGAGAGAUAGAUAUUGACAUACAAGAAGCAUUGUAGUUUUUAUUUACUCUCAAAUACAGGUCGCCUCAAUUAACCCUGUUUUAUGAUGGGAAUGGAUAUGAAUAAAAGCUUUCAAAGAAAUUCUACGAACUGUUACUGAUAACAGAUUUACCACAGCAACUAUAGUCAUUCAUUUCUUUCUUGCAUCAUAUGUAUCCAGUGUGAUGUCACAACAUUUUUGCCUAGUGCACACACACACUACCUCAGAGUUCCUGUUUACAUACUCUGUUUUGUCACUUUCCUAUUGCUGAAGAAAUAAUCUUCAUUUAUUUGUCUGCUAUUGCACUUUUUCUGUAUUGUAAAAAUACAACAGAAUUAUAUGUUGAGAAGUGAAGAUAUUUCAAGCAUUAUACAUUCUAUAAAUCUAACUAUCUAUCUGUCUGUCUGUCUGUCUAUCUAUCGCUCUGUCUGUCUCUCUGUCUAUCUAUGAAACACUGCAAUUUUUCAAUCAUUUACAGAUUAGAUUAACAAGAUUAGUGUUGAUAAACAGGUAUGGAAUUUAUUUAGCCGUUAUAAUCAGUGAUCUUAUUUGCAGAUAUAGUAAAAUAAGAAAAAUAAUGAACUAUGUAAAACCUCAUUACUCAUUUUGCUUUAAACUCCAACAGUAUAAAACACAGCUGUGUGAAUGUGUAAAAUUGUUUAAUUGUACACACCUAUACUCAGAUAUACAUUUAUAUAUAUAUAUUUGUGUAUUACAGUUCACAUCUCUACCUUAAAUCCUAUCCUAAAAUGUUACGGAAAAGCACAGAGAAGGUUUCAUGCCAGAGUCAAUAUUAAUUGCAACAUCAAAGUACCUUUUUAAUAUUCCAAAGAUUGUAACAGGUUUAGCUGGUUAAAUAUGUAUGUAGGACAGUUGAAAGUUUAAUGGAAGGUGUGUUAGUUAUUGUAGUUAAUACUUCAUUUAAUGCAAAUUUACUUCUCAUAACUCUAAAUAAACUUUGAUUUCAAUACUGCCAUACACUGGUAAUGGUAGGAUAUGGAUUUUCUGUCUGUUAAUGGAGAUGUAGUAGGGGUGAACAAAAAGCAAGGCGAUGGCCUGAUUCAAGAUCACGUUAAUUUAGAAAAAAGUUUUUAUAGUUGACCAAUUAGGAGUACAUCAGUAACAGUUUACUGACCUAUUUGUUUACUAGCAUGGAUAUAAAAACAAGAAAGUCUCUUAUUCAACCUGGUGGAAUAUUCGCUAAGCAUGAGUUUGUGAUGAGUUGGCAAACGUGUUCCAACUUUUAGGCCAAAACAAUUUCCAAUUCUGAAGUAUAUUCACAGUAUUAGGACUCAUUAACCAAUUUUCAAAACGUCUAGCAUGCAGGAGAAACACCCUUACCUCCGGUUGGACGGUUAUUCAUAGGACAGACGAAAAAAGUUACUAAACUCAGGAUAGGGUGCCAAAGAAUAGCCCUGCAUCAAGGUUACUCAAAAAUAUAGGCUGAUGAAGUUUCUAAACAGGAAAGUAGUGUGCAUGUAUACCAUAUAUGCUUGUGUAAUUAAAUUAUAUAUAUGUGUGCAAUAUGUGAAAAGUGGAUGGAAAUGUAAAAAAAAUUAAAAAUACAGUAUUGUAUAUGCUAUUGUGAUUUCAGAUUUGUUGGGAAAUAAUGAUCACUCACAUAUCAGAGAGCAAUAUGUUCUGAUUUGUUUAAAAAAAUGUUUCCCCAAAAUGUGUUCUUGCAUCCUUUAAUAAGGUAAAAAAAAAAAAAAAAACAAUGGACCUAUGGCAAGAUUGAUAGUCUACAGGUUAAAAUAUAGUAUAAUAAAGCCCACAUAGCAUGAAACAUAAAGGCCUCACAUUAACAUUUAUCUUUUAUCUAGAUAAAACUACAGUCUGUCCCUGAUUAAUACAAUGUAGCAUUCUUGGCAAUUUUGCUGUAUGACAAUCCAAUAUGGCUCCUGGUUGCUUUCUUGUUAUUUAUAUUAUAUCUCCAACAAUGUGAAUUUUUGGCAGCUCUACUCGUUUCACAUAAAGCUGUACACACGCUUUCUCCUUAUAUAUACAUAAAGCAAACAUACUACAAACAAAUGAAUAAAUCAAAACUCAUUGAAACCAUUAUUGGGAAAGUCCACUGCAGUGGAAUCUGAACAUUUUGUUCAGUUGAUUAAAGCACCAAAUAGUAUUCAUUUCAAAGUUCACCUAUUACAGUUUUGUGUGUAUAGCACACAUAUUUCUAUAACUAUAUAAAUGCUGCAUAUUUUAUUUUAGUUACUUGAUUCUGCUUGGAAAAAUAGUGUGAAUACGGGAUGGCAUUUAAGAGUUUUCUUUCACAACUAAGCACCUGGUUUAAUUAUAAUAAUAUUUUAAUUUGCAAUGUACGGAAGAAGCGUCAAAAUGUAAGCAGAAUACCAAACAAAAGCCAAGUUUCUAGAUUACUGAUACAAUCAAGCAAGCAGCUGAGAUUGUUCUGAUGUUUUCUAGGGAGGUUGCGUAAGAGAAAGGUGCAUGUAUUUAAUUGCACACGAAACGUGCUCUGAACUGGGACAAGAUACAAACAUGAACUUAUUAAUUCUGUAACCACAAGGAGUUGUGACGCACAUUGAAUAGCUAGGAGGUCAACAUUUAGGUUAGAGGGCACGAAACAGAAGAAUCAAAAAAAGCAAAUCAAUAACAACAAUUACAAAUAAAAGAAAACAAACACAGAUACCUUAGAAUCCUUAAUAACUACGGUAGGACCACAUUCUCUCACCCAAUGGGCAUGUAGGUUGGUAUUAGUAGCGAUUGGUAAUUAAGAGGUACAGGCAGAAUGCAGAUGAACAAUGGUGGUUUGCCUUAUUCAAUAAUUGUGGGGUCAGUUAGGCCCCUUAAGAACAGUAGGAGGCUCACUGCCUUCAAGUAGUGCGGAUUUAGGGGUAGGGGAUUGAGCAGGUCUCCCCUUGUUUAGUAGAGACCCCCCUAUAUUUUAUUAACCUUAGAUCCCACAUACAGUUGAAAUACAGUUGACACAUGUACAUUGUUUUUUGUCUCCAGUCUGACGUGAACACUGUGAGCAGUUGAUUAACUGCACCCUGGUUUUGUCCAGUUAUUUAUUAUUUUUUUAUUCAUAUUUUAUUUUAUUAUUAUGCUUUACUCUUGUCUCACUGGAAAGACAGUCAUGUAGCUUUUUAUGCCUGGCACCAAUCUUGAAUGGAUUUUCCUUCAAAGAUGACCAAACGAUAUCAGUGGGAUUUUCAGGUCUACUAGCAUUAAACGAAUUACCAAGGUCAGUUUGGGUAAUUUUCUCCCCAUACUCCGCUAAUAAUUGGGCAGACUAGAUGGGCCGAAUGGUUCUUAUCUGCUGUCACAUUCUAUGUUUCUAUGUUUUUAUUAGCAAACAACACGAGGAUGGGUUGGCCUCAAACCACCAUUUAAUAAUGGCUAAAACUACUUUUUUCAACCUUCAUUACAUAAACAGUUGUUGAAGAGACAGGAUUUACUAUGCAGACUACACAGAUAAAUGGAUGCAGCAGUUCUUUCUUUGAAGGCAUGAACCUCUGAUUUCUCAUACUUGCCUAACGUACAUAGACAAAUACACAUUUUGCAGAUUUACUUCUUUCAAAGCUGUGACUUUCACUCAGAAGGCCAAGCACUAAUACUCUGACUUAUGUAGAGCUUUAGUUCAAUUUUAAUCAGCGACCAAAUAUGCUAACAGUUUGUCAUGUUUACAAAAGGUGUCUAUAUUAUAUUUAUACAAGGGACUCUCAGGACCAGUAUUUGUUAUUCUCUGAGUACUUGUAGAAGUGUGAAUACAGUACAGUAAAUAUAUACCAUUCUUCAAUAGGUUUCAUAAAAGUGAAAAAAGGAGAGAGAAGGGGGGUGCUCAAAGGUAAUAAUACAAUAUUAUACUUAUAUUAGUACAUCAAUAAUAAUACGAUCCAUAUUUCACUGGGUCAAUCUGGAAGAAAUAAACAGAAUAUACAUAGCAUAAUACUGUAAGGGAGAAUUAUACACCAACAGUGUAGAGGUAAUGGGUCACUCACGAUCUGUAGAGCCUUAAAUAGCAGGCUCUAACUGUAAUAGCUUGUCAAGCAAUCUGCUUCUCCCAGCUAUGUUGACUUGGAAUUCCUCCAGAUGCUUUAUCCAACCAUACCACGACUAUCACAGCCAAAUGGGUAGGGAUAUAAGAAAACUUUUAUUUUGACAUAUAGUAAAAUAAAAACAUACAGGGCACAACGCGUUUCGACUUCCGUCUUCUUCAAAGGUGCAUAUAACAUAACAGUUCCCAGUCUCAUUUAAAUAGAUCCUAUUCGGAAAUUGAAAUUCCCGGGUAAAACUCUCGACUUCCGCAUUCCGACGUCACUUCCGUGUUCUGCCGACGUUGCUUACGUAUUCGCCGUCAUCACGUAUUCAGUCUUUUGACGCGGUCUGCUCUUUGACCCGGAUGAUGUUACAUACAGAUGCCAUCUUUGAAGAUGGCAUUUCAGUCCAUGUAAAUCCACUCAUAUAUAAAAGAUACAAUCAGUAACAAAUAAUAAAAUACAUUAAUUAAUAUCACAACGAUCAUAUCUACAACAUUUUAUUUUAUGUAAGCCACAAUAUAGGGAGAAGUCAUCAACAUAUAAAAAAUAAUAUAUGAAAAAUAUAAGAAAUAUAAAAAUAUAUAAAAAAGUUUGAUCUAGAAACCUUGUCCCUGGGCGGACUCAAUGUGGACUUUGAGAUGGCAGCCCUCAUAUAAUACUAUGAGAUAUAGAUAUAUAUAUCAUACUAUUUUUAUUACUCUUUGGAUAUCAAUAUAUUUUUAUACUUAAUGUUUCUAUAUUGGCCUUAUGGAUAUUUAUAUAUAUAUAGAUUUUUAUCUUAUAUAUAUAUAUUUUUUUUUUAUAUAUUUCUUCCAGAUUGACCCAGUGAAAUACGGAUUGUAUUAUUGAUGUACUAAUAUAAGUAUAAUAUUGUAUUAUUACCUUUGAGCACCCCCCUUCUCUCUUCUUUUUUCACUUUUAUGUACUUGUAUAGUGCCUUUGGUGAUUUUUUUGGCACUUGGGGGUAGUUGCUGUUCUUCACUUUACUAUUAGCGCCAAUCCACCUGUAUAUAUUUCUUGGCUAGGAAAUAUAUUUUGUUUGUUUAUUCAAUAGGUUUCAUGAUGAUCUGUUAACUGAUUAAACACUUUGCUGGGAGUCGUCCCUAUGUACAAUAAUAUAUUCUUAGGUAAUGUUUGCUACUUUGUUUUCAAAAUGGCUUGACUAUGUUAGUAACUGACAUACUAAAUUUAACCUAGUCAUUGGAAUAUGUAUGCAUACGCUUAAAUAUGCAAAGCUAAAUGACAAUGGCAAUUUAAAGGUUAACUGAUCUUAACCACGAUUUGCUCAAUAUUUAUUUUGUCACUGCAUUUUCAAAUUCUGUUUACUUUCUAGGGAAAGUCUAUUUACAAACUAGCAUCUUAAAUAUUUUUUGUCAAGGAAAUAUUCUGCAGGUCUGUUUACUAGUUAAUGAUAACCGGCUUGCACUAUUUAGGCCAAAGUUGCUGAGAUGGGAAAAAAAAUCAGCAACUCUUCAGCUAAAUUGUAAUUUUUUGCUUUUUUGUGAGCUCGGUUUAUUUGGGCUAAAUUCAACUUGGUUUUCAAAGCUAAUUGUAUAGAAAAUCAUCCUUAUCUAUGAAAUGACAAUGAUUGUAAGCAAUUCUGUUUUGUACCGGAACAGUGCUCCUGUAUCUUGAAAAAUGUGGCAUAAAAUAUGCAUCACUGGUCACUGGUAAUGUAAGGCAUUAAGAAAUACAGGUAUAAAAGCCUUUUAAGACUGUUAGUGUACGAGUACUUUUUAUAUUUAUUUGCACAUUGUAGGCAAUGUUAGUGAGUGGUAGUGAUCAUACAUUAUUUUUAGUGGACCAAGACUUUUUUUUGUCAUGUUAUACAGAUAUUUUACCAACCUAAGGAAUGUAUAUAUAAUGAAACCCCAUUAGGACUUAUAUACCAUCAUAUUACUGAAUUGCAUUAUUUAAGCCAAUAUAGCUGUUAGGUUUUUGCAGUUUGGUUUUUAGUUCACAAUACUUAACCUGUUCUGGAAUCCUAUGAGAUUAAGUUAAAUAAAAGUCAUCCUGUCUUAUACAGCACCUUAUUUAUUUACACAAUGCAGUUCAUCGAAGAGAUUCCAGUUUCUCUUUAAUAAACAGAAAUCUUCAUGCUUUACUAUCAAGCACUUUGUGAUUGAAAAAAUUCUUAGUAUAACAUUUAUGAAAAGCAAAAUAUGCAAAACUAGAAUAGAAACAUAACAAAACAAUUUUGUGCAUAGAAUUCUUUAUAGACAUACUGAAAAAUUAAAAUUAUCUAAAUUAACACAAUUGCUAUUUUUCAAUAAUUCAUCCAGCGUUUAUAAAAAAAUAUAUGGGAAACAUAAGGUUUUCAACAGUAUGGCAUUUUUCCUAAGUCACCCUUCUUAGGACUGACAAUGCCUAUUUUUGACCAAAUUUCUCUCCAUCUUUUGUAUUCUAAUGUUCUUCUUUUCUAAGAGCUUCUUAUUGUUUGUGUGUCUGAGUGUAUAGAAGAGCUUCAAAGCAAUAAUAAUACAAUGAUGUGUCUUUAAACUACAAUAAAAUGUUUUAAUAAAUCAGUGUGUAUAAAUAAGAUACCUUGUUCUUGUUCUAAAUUACAUUUUAAUUGCGUAUUUUUUAUUAGUAAAUAACCUAAAAUUACUCAAUAUAGCAACAAUAUAGCCACACAUCAUUCUUUAUCUAUCGCUAAUGUUGGGAGGUAUGUUAUAAAGUGUCCUUGAUUUUGAAACAUUUCACACAGGGUUUACAAUGUUAGUAUAAAGGCAAAAAUGCAUUUUUUAUCAAAUACAGUAGCUCUGCAAAAAAGAUAAAUAAAAAUGGUCAAAUACCUUGCUUUUAGGUAUUUGUAAGUACCCCAAUGGCUUUACUAUCAGUCCAGCUUAAUGAAAACGGCAACAGAAUGUGAUAAGAAUGUCUGCACUUAAUCUAAUAAAGUUAUAUCAUAUAUUGCUAAAACAAAAAGGUACUAAAAACUGCUAUAGCAAUCCUUAUUAAUCUCUGGACUGCUAAUGUAAUGCUAACAGAGAAAUGGUAGCGUCCAAACCCUCCUUGACUGUAGAAAUAAUAUGACCCAUUGAAACUCCCUUAGCUGUUUGGAGGUAGGGGGUGACCUGACGUUUUCAUCACACUUGCAGGCAUUAAAUCAGUCACCAGUGGCUUCUGGCAAAGAAAUGUUUUCCUCAUGCUACAGGCUGGUAAUUACCCCUUACCCCUUGUAUAACUGAAUAAGACUUCAUGGACUAAAUUCAAUUCUGUAAGAUACAUGAAAGUAAAAACGUUUAUAUUCGCUACCGAAUUUGAUUCAUACAGGAUUUGUUAUUAAUAUGUCUCUACUUUGCUCUCUUUAACCCCUUAAGGACACAUGACAUGUGUGACAUGUCAUGAUUCCCUUUUAUUCCAGAAGUUUGGUCCUUAAGGGGUUAAAAAAGUUCACUCAGACAAAGCAUGUUCAUUGUUUCUUGGACAAUGAAGAGCAUUCGCAGGUUGUAGUCAGUGUUUACUUCUGGGCCUGUGUUUUGAGUUGUAUUUCUCUUUGCGUGAUUGUUGUGGAGUUGAAUUCCCUAAGUAACACAAGCAGGAUUCUGGUAUGUCCUAUUUUUUGUCUUGUGGUUUAGCUGUGAGUCAGAGAAAAACAGAGGAUACUUCUUGGAGAUUCACUGACACCCUUAAAUAUAAUAUAUUUUUAUUAUACUUUUUCCUCCAUAAUAAUUUUGUUAUUUCAGGGUACAAAUGCUCUCCCUCCAUUGGAUUAUUCUAUCAGUUGCACUUUUUAUAAUAUAUUUUAAAAUAAACUUUUCAAGAUUUUUAGAUUUCUUUAUCAUUAUCUAGCUUGAGUACUUUUUUCCCUAAAUGCCUUAGAGGCAGUUCAACAUACUGAGAUAGGUGAUAUGAUAGAAAUGUUAAAGUACACUAAGGGAAUUAAUAACAUUAAAGGAUUUCUCCAACCCUUUUUUGAAAACAUGUGAAUAAUAUACUAUUGGCAUUAUUCUUCAGGGUCUCCUUAAUAGAAAGUUUGAAAAGCAUUUUAUAUGAAGGUUUUAGUUACCUUAAUUCAGCGCAAUACAAAGCCUCUGGCUUUGGUCGGAGCACCUCCAUCUGACAUCAUAGAAAAGCCUUUGAUUGGACCAUUUAACCGUCUCAGAACGUGUGCGUGCGCUCUGAGCUGGCAAGAGGAGACAGAGGUAAAGCAGGAAGAGGGAAGGCAGGGGAAAAAAAUAUCAGAUAGGAUAGGGAGGUGGGAGAGCUACAAUUAAGAAUGGUGAGAUGGGUAAGGGAGAAAAAUUUAAUGUCUGUCAGCAGCAUGCGGUGCAGGCUAAUCUCAGACAUUUUUUAUGCAUAGAAGCAUAUUGGCAUUCUAUGACAUUGGCAUUAAGCAACACAGAACAGAGUUCUAGGCUGCCAAUGUCACGUGUGCAGGGGGUGCAACCAUAAUAAACAAAAAGCAGAAGUGUUCAUGAUGGUUGUAGUAACACUUUAAACUCAAAAUGUUUUAACAUAAAGAGCAACACCUAAACAAGAUGUCAUAAUCUUAAAUUGCAAUAGCUAAGGUGUAAUGUGAAGAAGCUUUACUUUACAGAAAAGGUGCUUGAUCCAUGGCAUGGACUAAAGAGAAAGACUAACAUGUUAUUCACUAAAUAUUCAUAGUGAAUUUCAAAAUUGAGGCCAAUUAGAAAAAAAAAAAAAAAAUCAAAUCCAUACAGUUUUUAAUUUGACUAUAUGGUCCUUAAAAGUUAAAUUUACUUUGACUUCACUCAAAGUAAGUAAGUUUCUGACAAUUUUCAAUUAAGUAAAUAACCCUGUAAUGAAAUUAAAAAAUAACUUGGAUACACAUAUGGCUGUCCUAACAAGUAAUUAAGUUUACUGUUCACGUCUAAUAUGAGCAGACUUCUUGUGCCUUUAGGUUCUUAUCAGUGUUCAAUAUCUGUUUGUACAGUAAUAUGUUAAAAACCCAAUACUUUUCAGAUUCGGAUUAAAUCUUAAAUAGUUUCUGAGUUUUCAAUAUUAAUUUUGUUUCCAUGUUUUUAGUUUUUUUCUCAUUACUGUACCUGCUAAUGCUUUAAUUCAGAUUGAAAGAAUAUCUAAAGUAUAUUUCACUAUGUGGCAGCAAUACCAAUGACGGCACCUAUUAGCUUAAAAUUGAAUUCGGCAUGGAUUCAUCGGUUAUACAGUAUAUCUAUUAAACAGUGGUUCAUAUGUAUACUUCUAUGUAGAAUUUAAAUAGAUUAAUAAUAAUUCAUUAUUAUAUCCUAAAUACAAACAGUCCAUACUUCUCUAUGUUUUGGGUUAUAAAAAAACAUCUUGGUGUAGACAUUAAAUACAUGAUCAAAUAUUAAAAAACUUAACAUUUGAAUGCGUUGAAUCUACUAAGGAAAGAGAGUGUUAUAUUUUGUACAUAUUGUAGUUGGUUUCUAAUAAUAAAUUGAUUUUUCUGCAAACAUUGUAAAAGGCAAAACCAAAGACUCCAUCUGCUGCGUAGAAAUGCAACUCCCAUCAAUUUGGGUAGCCCAAGAGUUGUUUAAUGUUUUACAUACAUACACACUUAUACUGAAGCCAUUCUAUAACAGUAAUGUUUAGAUUUCUUAAAACACUUAAAAUUAAAAUUAGAUUCAUUAUUAAUAUUAAAUGGAAAUGUAAUGUAAAAUGUACUUUCUCAUAGGUAUUUUUCACUGCCUUGUUUUUGUCAUGAUAUAAGACAUUCAACUAAUUGGAAAAAUACCUGGGGUUUGUCCAGUAAUCUGGCAAUUGUGCAGAAUUGUGCAGAAAGGAAACCGCAAAUUCUACUCCAACACAGCUAUGGCGGAAAAUAAGUGAGAUGGAGCUUUUAUUCUAACGUAGCCUAAAAUUAAAUUUUUCCUGGUAUAUUCUCAUUUGUGCCUAAUUCCCCUUGCGUCAUGCUAGCUCUCCUAUUAUGGGAUUAUAACAAUUUUAUUAUUUUUCUAAUAUUGAGAUUUCUACCAGUGUCGAGUACUGUUAUUGACACAUUAAUUAUAUAAAUUUGAUUAUAUAAUAAAAUAAUAAAAUACAUGACUGAACUUUUAUGAAGAGGAUGCAAUUAUUGCAAAUGAUUCUAAGAUCUUAGAUAUUCAGUUGCUCAAUGACCCAGAAGUAAGGCUCAUGGCUGCAGGUUCAAUUCCCAGCAGGGCCAAUAAGCCUUUUGACUUUCAAGAAAAUUAGUAGAUUUAAGUGAGUAAUUCCAACAUAUAUUAAUCAUUUGCUGAUUUUGUUAAAAUCUGAAAGUUGUUGCCAAAUAACUUUAUAAAUCCUUAAGGAGAAAGAUUAUUAUUAUUGUUAUUGUUAUAAAUGCAUGUUUUAUCUGACUCUUGUUUUUAAAUCUGUUUUAAAUGAUUAAUAGCAUAAUUUUUUGUUUUUGUUUUAGCCAACCUAUUAUUUAUACCCAUGAUUAAAAGGACACUGUAGGCACGUAGACCACUUCAGCUCAUUGAAGUGGUGUGAGUGCAUUGCCCCAUGUCACUUAACUCUACAGUGGUAAUUACCUGAGAAACUGCACUAAUUACCUCUGAGGAACUCCAGUGUCAGAUUUUUCCCCAUAAGAAAGCAUUGAAUAAUGCUUUCAUAUGGGGAAAUCCUAAUGUGAGCACGGCCAUUGCCACGUAUGCACAUUAGGUCUCCCCCGCCGGCUGACGUCGGCAGAUUAGGAGCGUGGGCAGAGCCUGACCCAGCGCUGACGGACAUCGUGCUGGAUUCAGGUAAGUGACUGAAGGGGUUGUAACCCCUUCAGCCCUGCAGGAGGGGGAGUGCAAGGGAGGGGGUUACUGCAGGAGCCUAUAGUGCCAGGAAAACGGGUUUGUUUUCCUGGCAAUAUAGAAGGCAAGCACAUAGAACAAAAUGUGCAAUAUUAUUGAAUACCUAUGGCAUGUUUUCCCCUUGUUUCAUGCACUUAUGUAACUGAAAAUGAAUAAUGAAUAAAUGCAUCACCUAAUUUUAUGAAAACAUCUCAUAAUCCCCGAAAAAUCUAAAUUAUAUGAAAUAGUUACAAAGCACAUUCCACGAGAAAGUAGAACUACAAAAUAGUAACCAUUUCCUAUCUUCUGUCAAUUUAUGAUUUUUUAUGGUUUAUAAAAAAAUGCACGAACCUAUUCUCUAGCAAUGACUUUCAGAUAAUCAUUCAUAAAUUAUAUAAUAAAGUAUUUAAUAACAAAGUAUUUAACCAGGAAAGGUACAUUCAGACUACUCUGGUUUCCAAGUAUGCCUUGGGGAUGUUACUUUUGCCCAACAUCCAGGGUAUGUUACUAUCACACAAUUUAAUGGUACUUAUUUUAUCUACCCUGGAAUGAUGAGGGGUUGCGUCAACUCUGCUGGGGUUUGAAUCUGUGACCCACAAGUAUUGAACAGAUUCCACUGAUGAUGCAUUCAGGGCCCGCCUUAGGCCUUUAGGCGCCAUGUGCGAAAAAUCUUCACAGUGUCCCCCUCCCUCUCCCCGUCAUCCAUGUAUAGUGUGUGUGUAUAGGAGUGUAGUGAUUGAAUAGGGGAUUUAUUAAAUUAAUAAUGAUUUUAAAAAAAUAUUCCUUCCUCCUUUCCAGUUGUUACCUAGUUGAGAGAGGGGCACGCUGAUCUGAAUCUGGUCUGCCCCUCCACUGGGUACAGACCAUGCGUAACUGUCUCGCAAGCUCAGGGACUCGCAGUGUCCUGUGGUAAUCUGCGGCAGCGCUGUGAUUAUCCUGAGCUAGGAAGACAGCUACUUAUGGUCUGCAGCCAACAGAAGUGCAGGCCAGAAGUGCAAGACUGCCUCCCCUACAUUACAGAGGAGCAGACUAAGUAUGUCACAUUAUACUGUGAGUGGUUUUGCUUUGGAGCUCUGGAUUAUACUUAUUUACCUUGACCUCUUUGGAAUAAAGAUUUAAAGUAAUGCGCUACUUCUCCAUUUAUCACAGAGCUCCACAACAAUAAAACUCCCAUUAACGUGGAGUCUGUGACAAGAUCAUACACUACACAACAAUACAACUGUUAGUAAUGUGUCUAUUAGUGUAUCACCAAGCUCCCUGACUAUAAAACACAGAGUAAUGUGCAUUUUAUAUACAAGAGUUCCACUGUAAUACAUCUCACUACAAUAUGAUGUAAUGUUUGUGUUGUCCGUGUAUGUGAUAGGUGUGAUGACUGUGUGUGAUAUGUAUGCUAUGUGUUGGCUGUGUGUGAUAUUUGUAAUGGGUGUAUUAACUGUGUGUGAUAUGCGUGUAUUGGUUGUAUGUGAUAUUUGUGCUGGGUUUAUUGCCUGCGUGUGAUGGGUAUUUAAUUCAGAUAAAAAUAUGCAUUUAAGUCUAUGUGUGAAUGCAGGUGUAUAUUUUUGCAGACUUAUGUGAACACAGUCCCACAGUCAGAUACACACAGUUAUACAUAUACACUGUCAAAUCCACCACACCACCGCACACAGUCGCAGGCAAAUGGUCACAUACACAGGCAGAAACACACAAGUACAGGCAGUAACACACAUACACAGUUACAGGCAGAUAAACACACACACACACACGCACACACAAUUACAGGUAGACAGCCACACACACACACACACACACACACACACACACAAGCAGACAGCCCCACAUAUACAGCCACACAUACAGUCUUACACACACAUACUUACAUGCAGACAGUCACACUUAUUCGCACACACACACACACGAAGACAGCCACACACUCACACACACAGGCAGACAGCCAGACACACACACACACACACAGGCAGGCAGCCAAACACACACAAGAAGACAUCCACACACAGAGGCAGGCAGUCACACACACACAGAGGCAGACAGCCACACCCACAGGCAUACAGCCACACAAACAGACAGAGGCAGACAGUCACACACAGGCAGUCACACACACACACACAGGCAGACAGUCAUACACACAGACACACACAGGCAGACAGUCAGACACACACAGGCGGACAGUCAAACACACACAGGCGGACAGUCACACACACACACACACGCAGGCAGACAGUCUUACACAGACACACACAGUCCCACAGGCAGACAUUCACACACACACACACACACAAGCAGACAGUCACACACACAGGCAGACAGUCAAACACACAGACAGACAGCCACGCACACACACACAGGCAGACAAUCACACAUAGUUACCUCUGUUCAUUAUGGAGGAGUGGAGGCAGUGCAGCUCCUGGAGUCCCUGCUUCCCCUGUAGCAGUUACCUGGCACUUUUAGCUCUGCACCCUGCCGUCAGUUUAGUUUCGAAUCCACCGCACGUGAAGCUCCGUCUCCACCGCAAUAUUGUUUGUUUGUUUUUAUAAUAUAAUAUAAUAAUUUUUACUUUUCAGUAAAGGUAUACUACCAAAAGGAGUUGUUUUUCAGGUUUCAUGCAGUGCUUCUAAAUAUGAUUAGAUGCCUUUCUGUUGCACACAGUUAAAUCAUUAAAAUAAAUAAAUUUGACAGAGAGAGAGAGAGAGAGAGAUAAUUAAACUAAGAGGGAGUGCAAUACCAUGUUCUAGUAAACUGAAUAGGUGCAAUACCAUGUCUAUUGCUACAGGUUUAUUAUUGUUACUUUCUGUAAGGUAUGGGCAAGGGAUCACCUUUUAUCUGCCCAUGUGAUGGCAAUAUGCCACAAGUAUGUCCAGUGUCCUUGACAUAUAGUGUUUCUCUUCUGACUUGCAAACAAUUUGUCCAGUAAUGUUCCAUCCCUAUGCCACAAAUGAUGCAAAAUUCUCUCAACCCUGUCCAGUAACUAAAACAUUCCAAAACAAUACGUCCUACUUCCAUAAUCAAUUCCCAUGAAAGAUACAUGGAAAAUAAAGAUGUAGAAGUGAAUGUAACUGUGUGCAGUAUUCCAGCUUCUCUCAAAAGAAGAUGCACUGGACUUAUUGAGGAUCGUGUGGUCCCAGAAAUAUUUUACCCCGUAAUGGGCUUUUAAACAACAUAACAUUUUCACUUUUUACAAAUGUACAUUGAUUUUUUUUUUUAUAUACAUAUAUAAUUCUUUAUUUUUGCAGUGCAUAGAUUAACAUACCGGCUUGUGACAUCACAGCAAAAUCAAGGCAUGGAAAUAAAGAUUAACUUUUUUUGUGUAAUAAUAAAAAAAGCAAUAUGCACAACCUGUCAGUGGGUAGCAGGGUGAAAUCGAAAAUAAUUUGCGACAACAGUUGCAUGGUAGACAUCCAGUGUGUGUGAGAGAAUGUAUGUGUGUGUCUGUGUAUGUGUGUGUAUAUGUGUGUGUCUGUGAGUGUGUGUGAAAUCAGUGAGAGUCUGUUUGUCAUUGAGUGUGUGUGUGACUCUCAGUGUGUGUCUGUCAAUGAGUGUGUGUGUGUUUGUCAAGGAAUAAGUGUGUGUCAGUGAAUGUGUGUGUGUCAAAUCAGUGAGUCGGUGAGUGGCAUCUGUGUGUUUGUCAUUGAGUGUGUGUGACUGAAACUGUAUAUCUGCCAGUGUGUGUCUGUCAGUGAAUGUGUGUGUCUGUCAGAGUGGGUGCUUAAAGGGACAAUAUAGGCGCCAAGACCACUUUAGCUCAUUGAAGUGUUCAGGUUGCAGUGUCCCAGUCCCCAUAACUCUGCAAGUGCAAUUAUUGCAGUUUUUUAGAAAGGGUAAUUGAAGGGUUAACUCCACCUCUAGUUACUGUCUGACAGCCACUAGAGGGACUUCCGGGUAGUUAGAAAACCAAAUGUCCAUGAGGACAUCCAACUUUUGCUAAAUCCCCAAAGAAUUGAUACAAUGCCUUCCUAUGGGGAAGUCUAAUGCAAGCAUGGACUAGGAGCCUGACUUAUUUAACCCCUUCAGUGCUGAGUGAAGGGGAACUAUAGGGUACUAUAGGGCCCGCAAAAAAUCCCUUUAAGGAGUAGGUACGAAGAGGCUGAGUUUUUAGAGGAAAAUGUGGAGUCUAAAGAGGCAGGGGUGGGUGUUAAUCAGGAAGAGGAGUGGCCUUAAAAGGAAGCGGUGGGGCAAAUUUAGGUUACAGGGUGCCCAGGUUUAGUCAUACCAAAAUACACCAUUGAACCUGUUUGCUACUACAGUUUGACAUAAAACAUUUACAGCAGCAGGCAAGUUAAGCUGAGCAGUAGUUGGUCAAGGGACAGUAGAGUCUGAUCCAAUAUGGCUGAGAACAAGAUUUUCAAAAAAAAAAAUAAUCAAAAAACUAAUAUACCUCAUUUAGAAAAUAUUAUAAGUUUCAUUAAGUGUAAAAAUUAAAAUGUCAGUUGUCUUUUCAGUAUAGCAUCUUUUUUCUGUUUUAUAUACUAAGAUAUAAAACACUCACACUUAUUACUUAAAACUGUUAAAAAUACAAAAAUUGCAUAAUGUAUUGUUGGAUAUAAUGAUCGUGUUAUAGAUUUAUUUUUAAUUUAAAUUUUUUUUUUUUUUUUUUUUACAGUUUCCAUGUGAAUUAAUUCAAUAUUUAUCAAUUCUGUUUGAUGCAACUCUC
rnacentral:lncRNA from 1 species